GACGAACGCUGGCGGCGUGCCUAAUACAUGCAAGUAGAACGCUGAAGAGAGGAGCCUGCUCUUCUUGGAUGAGUUGCGAACGGGUGAGUAACGCGUAGGUAACCUGCCUGGUAGCGGGGGAUAACUAUUGGAAACGAUAGCUAAUACCGCAUAAAAUUGAUUAUUGCAUGAUAAUUAAUUGAAAGAUGCAAUUGCAUCACUACCAGAUGGACCUGCGUUGUAUUAGCUAGUUGGUGAGGUAACGGCUCACCAAGGCGACGAUACAUAGCCGACCUGAGAGGGUGAUCGGCCACACUGGGACUGAGACACGGCCCAGGCUCCUACGGGAGGCAGCAGUAGGGAAUCUUCGGCAAUGGGGGGAACCCUGACCGAGCAACGCCGCGUGAGUGAAGAAGGUUUUCGGAUCGUAAAGCUCUGUUGUAAGAGAAGAACGGGUGUGAGAGUGGAAAGUUCACACUGUGACGGUAUCUUACCAGAAAGGGACGGCUAACUACGUGCCAGCAGCCGCGGUAAUACGUAGGUCCCGAGCGUUGUCCGGAUUUAUUGGGCGUAAAGCGAGCGCAGGCGGUUAGAUAAGUCUGAAGUUAAAGGCUGUGGCUUAACCAUAGUAUGCUUUGGAAACUGUUUAACUUGAGUGCAGAAGGGGAGAGUGGAAUUCCAUGUGUAGCGGUGAAAUGCGUAGAUAUAUGGAGGAACACCGGUGGCGAAAGCGGCUCUCUGGUCUGUAACUGACGCUGAGGCUCGAAAGCGUGGGGAGCAAACAGGAUUAGAUACCCUGGUAGUCCACGCCGUAAACGAUGAGUGCUAGGUGUUAGGCCCUUUCCGGGGCUUAGUGCCGCAGCUAACGCAUUAAGCACUCCGCCUGGGGAGUACGACCGCAAGGUUGAAACUCAAAGGAAUUGACGGGGGCCCGCACAAGCGGUGGAGCAUGUGGUUUAAUUCGAAGCAACGCGAAGAACCUUACCAGGUCUUGACAUCCCUCUGACCGCUCUAGAGAUAGAGUUUUCCUUCGGGACAGAGGUGACAGGUGGUGCAUGGUUGUCGUCAGCUCGUGUCGUGAGAUGUUGGGUUAAGUCCCGCAACGAGCGCAACCCCUAUUGUUAGUUGCCAUCAUUCAGUUGGGCACUCUAGCGAGACUGCCGGUAAUAAACCGGAGGAAGGUGGGGAUGACGUCAAAUCAUCAUGCCCCUUAUGACCUGGGCUACACACGUGCUACAAUGGCUGGUACAACGAGUCGCAAGCCGGUGACGGCAAGCUAAUCUCUGAAAGCCAGUCUCAGUUCGGAUUGUAGGCUGCAACUCGCCUACAUGAAGUCGGAAUCGCUAGUAAUCGCGGAUCAGCACGCCGCGGUGAAUACGUUCCCGGGCCU
rnacentral:rRNA from 1 species